GCCUUUGUGGUAUAACGGUUAGUACACUCGGCACGUAUUCAAGAGGUCCAGGUUCGAAUCCCGGCGAGGGUA
rnacentral:tRNA from 1 species